UGAGCUCCUUCGUGCUGGCUGCUAGCCGGGCGACCUGGGCUGGCCCGGCCAUGCGCAGGCUCCCGGGUUUGUCCCGUCUGUCCCCACCACCCUGAUGUGGUGCACGUGCAGGCACGCACAUGCAUGCGCUCGUACAAACACGUAUAUGCACACACACGCAUGCACACACACAUGCACAUGCAUGCAAGCACACAAACACGUAUAUGCACACACACACAUAUGCAUGCACACACACGUAUAUGCAUAUAUACACAUGCACGCAUGCAUGCACACACACACGUAUAUGCAUAUAUACACACGCACACACACGUAUGGGUGCUGUCUGCGACGGGCCCUGGCUGGUUCCUCGGGCCCAGGGGCAGCCUCGGCGCCGCGGUGUGACGGGACCCCCCUGCCGUCCCCGCUCACCUUGCCGGGAAGGGGCCGGGGCGAGUGUGUGCACGCGCCGGCCUGCCCCGCUCCCCCGUCCCACCUGCGGGUCCUGCCCUGCUGUGCCGGGCUGCAACUAAAGCAAGCAACCAGCGCGGGGCAAAUCCGGCUUUGCAAACUGUGUCGGCUCCGAGAGCCCCGAGGAGCCAUCGCUAACAUCAGCCCGGAGGCUCCGCUGCAAAAACCGAGCCGCAUGGAAGAGGGGUCCCGAAACGCGAGGGGUAGGGUCAGGGCACCCGCGGGCGCCGGGUCGUGGGCAUCCCCGGGCGGUGGGUGCCCUCGGAGCCGAAGCAGCGUCCCGGGGCCAAGACUGUCCUUUGGGCAGCGGGAAGAAAGCAGCUUGCGGCUCCCUUGGCUGCCCUUCGGCACGAGCUUCUCAUUGCUGCGGGAUGACACACGCCGCCCCCUCCAAAACAAGGCGCUUUAUUAUUAUUCUGUUUCUAAUUUGGGGUUUGGAAAUAAUUUUCCAUCCCUGCUUCCAAGCUAAACCAUCCCCCCAAAAAACCCAAAAAUCUGCUUUCCAGAGAGCCACGGAGGGGUCGGCGGGAGACGGAGGCGAGAGGAGGGGGUGGAAGAAGGAAAAGCCACGCGGGAAAGCUGGCGGCCAACGCCGCAGUGCCCAAAGCCGGGCGCGCGCAGCCGCCCCCGCGGAAAACCGGCACGGUUAGACGUCCCCACGACACAGGCGCUCGCAGGCGUGCCGAGACCGGCGCCUUCCCAGGCAGCCGGAGCCGGGAGGUGGAAACCCCCCGGGCUCCCGCCACCCUUGUGCGAGAGCCGCGCGGAGGGGAUAAACCCCCAAAACGCGGCCCCAGGAGCGCGGCCGGGCUGCUUCCCACCCACCCGGCACGGGAAGGCGCCGGGGGGGACCCGUGCCUCCGGCGGAGGGAAGGUGCUGGGGGACCGUCAGGCUCCCAGAUGUUUUCAUACCGAAGUCCUUUAAAAAAAAAAACAAAAAAAGGGAGAGAGCGGCACGACGGCAGAAACACCCGGCAUGCCGAGCGGCCGCUGCAAAACAAGUAUUUUUUCCGUGAGUCACCGGUGGAAAGACCAGCUCAGGCGCCCUGCGCGCGGCUCAGCAUCCCGCGCCGGAGCCCGGCGGAUGCCCCGGCUCCAGCAGCCCCGGGCGGGCAGCACGUGCAGCGCCGUGCACCGCGGCCGCCCGCUCCCGGCUCCCCCCGGGAGGGUUUUGCCGAGGCUGCGAUGAGGCGAGGCAGGAAAAUCGGGCUCAGGUGGAGCGGGGCAGGAUUAAAGGGAAACUCCGCGAGGGCCGGGGCCUCCCGGCCGUGUUUAGACGUUGGGAGCGGUGUUUAGUCUGCAGCAGCUCGGCGCAGGAUUUUCCCGCUUCCCGGGGCUCCCGGCGGUGGGUGCCCCAAGCGCCAGCCCCGCUCGAAACCCGGCCCCGUGGAGCUCGCUUUUCCUCCCUUUCUUUUUCCAUCCCCCCAAAACGCGCAGAAGGAGCCAGCUCCGGCCAGACCGUCCCCGGCCGCGCGGUCCCGGCGGAGGGAGGCAGUGGCAGGGGAAGAAAUUAGGGGGAAAAAAAAAAAAAAGAAACUCAGAACAAACAGUUUUGAUUUAUCGUUUGCAAGAAGAAAUAGAGCAUGUUGAAAGAAAGCACAGGAAGUCCCGGGGAUAAUAAAUCCUGCUCGGGAGCAGAUAAAGCCA
ensembl:lncRNA